rfam:Vigna angularis cultivar Jingnong 6 scaffold243_9, whole genome shotgun sequence.
GAUCUUAGCUCAGUUGGUAGAGCGGAGGACUGUAGUGGGACAUCUGGCAGUCAAUCCUUAGGUCGCUGGUUCGAAUCUGGGCAGGUC